CUUGAUUGUGUAAAUUGCAAUGGAAAGUUCAUUGUAUUGUAGUGUCAUAUCAAAUUGCCCCCCACCCUUCUCCUCUACCAGAUGUGAUAUAAUUUCAACACCUAUGUUCCAAUGCAUAUGGUUGUUCAGUUUUUAUUACUCCACUGCGGUACUCUUUUUAAUUCUGAUGCGUGAGAUUUGAUUUUGUUUGUGGAUUUCAGUCGCACGUGUUGAGGAGUUACCUGACCAGGUCCCGCUCCGUGGCAUCUUCGGCCACCGCUCCAGUUAUGGUGGUCGCAUCACCAUCAGGUUCAGGGUUAUGAGAACAUGAGCCUUUUGGAUAUUUGAGAGAAAGAUCAAAACAUUAGUGUGUAUAUCAGGACACCAAGGCACACCAAGCAGAGCUCUUACCAUCUAUUGGAUAGAAGCAUGCUCUUAUUAUCUAUUGGAGCUGUGGUUGUUGAGGCAGGUGGAGUAUUCAGAUCAUCAACUACAGGUAAACCAACCUAACAUAAAGCCAUUGGUUUGCAUGUAGGUACCUGGUUCGACACAGCCUCGAAGUCCGAUUCUAGCACAGCUUCAGCCUGAACACGAGGAGGCGAGUCCCGGAACUACAAGGCUUUCUUGACAGACAAACCAAUAACAUUGCUUAAAUCGCUGAAGAAAAUGGGAGAGGAUAUUCAGACAUAAUGAAAGGAAUUCUUCGAGCACAGAAUUCAACACAUGAAUAUGGAGCCUGUAAAAGCGCACCUAGGUCCAGGGGUUUAACAACUGAUGAAGGUGUCUGAGAGAGAAGUAGUCUAUGAUUUGAGACCAAUUACUUGACUUGAGACAUCUAUGACUGACAAUACUUUUUAGUACCAGAAAGUAGUCAGUGCAUAAACGAACAAGUUUUGUGCUUCUUCAUAAGGAUUCAGAUUACCUUGUAGAAUUAGCAACUGUGUCAAGAAAGCCAGUGGUGAGCCUAGAAUUUGAACAACGGGAUUUUAAUAAAAAAAAUAAGGUAAUUGCCAGCUCAAAUCCUAAUUUUAGCUGGCUAUGGCCUUUUCUGACAAUGAGCCGGGAGAAUGAAUAAGGGAUGGACGCUCCCUUGAUUCCAAAGUUAUGUUGUGUUAUUUUCAUAUUUUUCAUACAUGCACACAUUACAUACUAUAUCAGGUAAUACACAAACUGAUUGGGUGAGGUGCAUUUUCUGUUAUUAUCAUGUUGUGCUGACUAGCAAGUGCUCUUCCCGUUCACGUUUCAGGCACCUCUCUUAAUUGGUUGUGAUGUCAGACUUCAGAAACAAAGAAAAUAGUGAGAAACAAAGAAGUAUUUCAAGCAAACCAAGGUAUUCUAUUGUUAUCACUCCAUUCUCUCGAAGUUUAUGAAUGGCAUCAAAACUGACCUUUCUUGGUGGCGAGAUACUUCCAUGCAUCAUUGCCAUAUUUGAUUGGCCUUUAGAAAUCAGUUUGCACCAACCAUGUAGUAGCUUGGUAUGAGUUUGUUUGAACCACUUGAUGGAUCUUAAUUGUUUUUGUUAGUGUUUCUAUUUUAUUGACUCGUGAGCAUUGAGCUGGUCAGUCGCCAUUUCUGUAUUCCUCUUGGGGACAUUAUAUUAUCCUGAACUAACAUCAUGUGCUGCCAACAUCUCUUUUUCUGGUGGUGUCAACAACUGCUUUCAGAGUAGCUGACUGUGCUUCUUCUGCUUAAGAUUUCUAUCUCACACAAUAGAACCAUUUGUAUAGGUACUGUUGUAGUUAUGCCAUCCGUUAAAUUUAGUAUGUUUCAUUUUCUGCUCGGAACGGAAGUUGCCAAAAUUCCAUUUAAUUUCCAUCAUUCUUUAUUUGCAGAGCACCAAAACGAGGCCUAAUUAGUAGAUGUGACACACACUGAGACCGUAAUAAUAAAAAUGCAGCUCAAAUCAAUAACAGCCUUGAAUAUGAAGCAACCCAUUACCUUUUUUUUUCCUUUACCAUGGUAGCGCGCUCAUUAAUUUCAGAUUUAGUUGCCGUAUUAUUUUAUUUAUGAACAAUGCAUGGAUUGCUGCAUCAUAUGGAAAUCAAGGUCAAACAUUACCUGACAUUCUAUUUGUUACACUCUUUUGAACUAAAAAAAAGUUACUUGUUUGCCGGCCACUGGAAAAUUUCAGGUGCCUGACAAGGAAACUAUGUAGAGGUAGGCAGCCGAAGUAAUUAGUCAUUUGGAUUUACUUAAGUUUCUGAAUUUCAUCAGGUUUGUCCUCUGCUCCAUAUAUCUACAAAUAUUUCCCUCAACCUUUACCGGCAUCAAUAUAUCUUAUGGGCAUAGGAAAGUGGUAUGUCGACCACAAGCUUGGGGCAAAUAGGCUGGCUCUAGAUGAAAAAUGAACUUGAGUAAAAUAAAUAGAAAUUUUAAAAA